UGGGGAAUAUUGCACAAUGGGCGCAAGCCUGAUGCAGCCAUGCCGCGUGUAUGAAGAAGGCCUUCGGGUUGUAAAGUACUUUCAGCGGGGAGGAAGGCGAUACGGUUAAUAACCUUGUCGAUUGACGUUACCCGCAGAAGAAGCACCGGCUAACUCCGUGCCAGCAGCCGCGGUAAUACGGAGGGUGCAAGCGUUAAUCGGAAUUACUGGGCGUAAAGCGCACGCAGGCGGUCUGUCAAGUCGGAUGUGAAAUCCCCGGGCUCAACCUGGGAACUGCAUUCGAAACUGGCAGGCUAGAGUCUUGUAGAGGGGGGUAGAAUUCCAGGUGUAGCGGUGAAAUGCGUAGAGAUCUGGAGGAAUACCGGUGGCGAAGGCGGCCCCCUGGACAAAGACUGACGCUCAGGUGCGAAAGCGUGGGGAGCAAACA
rnacentral:rRNA from 1 species